CUGCCCCCCGGCCCGGGAUAGCCCAGGGAAACCUGGAUUAAUACCGGAUGAGACGGGACCCGCGAAGGCGGGACCCGGGAAAGGCGCUGCGGCGCCGCCGGGGGAUGAGUCUGCGUCCCAUUAGCUAGACGGCGGGGUAACGGCCCACCGUGGCGACGAUGGGUAGCCGGCCUGAGAGGGUGGACGGCCACAUUGGAACUGAGACACGGUCCAGACUCCUACGGGAGGCAGCAGCUAAGAAUCUUCCGCAAUGGGCGAAAGCCUGACGGAGCGACGCCGCGUGAACGAAGAAGGCCGUGAGGUUGUAAAGUUCUUUUCGGGAGGGGGAACAACCGUGGCAGGGAAUGGCCGCGGGAUGACGUGAAUCCCGGAAUAAGCCCCGGCUAACUACGUGCCAGCAGCAGC
rnacentral:rRNA from 1 species